rnacentral:misc_RNA from 1 species
GCCUUUUGUUGCCUUUCUGAUGGUUUUUGGUUUAGCUUACCUACUGUUUCUUUUAAUUGGCGUUACUGGAACUUUGGUGGAUUAUACAAAAGCUAGAGUUUACUGCUUUGCGUGAAAGUAUAGUGGCUGAUGCUGCCUCUGGGAUAUUCUAGUCUACUUUUUCUUCUUGCUACUUCCAUAUAAGCGCAUUCUUUUAUAUUGUUA